GGUUUUUUGUUUUGAUGAAAAAUCUGGCCUGCUCUAUGAUUUGUUUAAAUGGCCGCAGUAUAUUGACUGUGCUAAGGUAGCAUAAUAAUUAGUCUUUUGAUUUGGGACUGGAAUGAAAGGUUUGUCAAGGGGGUAACUGUCUUAAGGUUGGUGUAUUUAAUUUGAUUUGAGUGUGAAAAAGCACUUAUUGAGCUAAGGGACGAGAAGACCCUAUCGAGUUUAAUAUGUUAUUGGUGUAUAUUGGCUAAAUGGUUGGUUGAGCACUUGGGAUGCAUGUUUUACUGGGGCGGUGUAGAAAGAGGGAAUCUUUUUAAUAUUUUAGGUUGUGAGACAUUAGUGGGUUAGGAUCCAAUUUGUGAGAAUUGAUAGAAGGAUUAAAUUACCGUAGGGAUAACAGCGUAAAGUUAUUGGAGAGUUCAUAUUGAUAAUAGACUUUGCGACCUCGAUGUUGAAUUAGGAUGGCUGCUUGGUGGAGGAGCUUAACAAGAGAGUCUGUUCGACUAGUAAUAUCCUACA
rnacentral:rRNA from 1 species